ensembl:lncRNA
UUCUAACCUUAUGACCUGGAAGGAAAGGAAAAAAAAAAUCACGUGUAUAAAUUGAUAGGCCUGUUUUCUCUCCCCGACUGCUUGCUUAUAUUUGUGAUCCGAGGGUGUAAAGUAAUAAAAGGAGAGAAGACACUGCAGCAAGAAUGAUGAUCUAGAUGAUGAUCUAGGAUGUGGAGCUGUCCCAUAGGUUCUAGCCACGCAAGCUGUUUGUUCACACUUACGAGCAACCCAGUACUGGCACCUAUCAGGGACUCAUUUCCUCUCUGACCCUUGUCCCAAGUGUGGUUCCCACCGUGCUGACCCUGGGACACCAUCCUCUCUGAUGAGGGUCGAUCCUGCAGAACAGCCUGGCAAAGCAACGGCUCCCUCAGGACCUCAGCUCCCAUCCGAUCUCUUCCAGAGGUGGUGGGGUGAGGAAGCAGGAAGCUGCCCCUUGAGUUUCUUAAUCUGAAAACAUCCACCGAAAAAGUACAUUAAUUUCUCUAUUUUAAUUGAGACUAGAGCCUAUCAGAAAGGAAGGAGCAUGUCAAGUCAAACCCCACGCCCCACAAGUACAAUCUGAUGUUGUCCUGCCAGCACUUCGCAUUUCUCUAAGGUAAAGAGUUACAUAAAGAAGCCGGAGAGAAAUACAGCAAAAUGUUACCACCCACCGGGAAGAUGGGGAGUCUCUCUUCUGAUUUAUUUGUCAAGGAACAAACCCAAAUAAUAAACAAAUGAAAAACCUUCCGCCAGUGAGCACUCUUCUUUGAAAGUAAUAGUAUAAUGGGUGAAAAUGAGACUAUAUUUACAGUAUCAGGCAUGCAUUAUUUUGUAACUCUGGGUGAAAAAUUAUCUCUAAGGCUGAAAUUCCUCUUGAGUUCAGGAGAUUCUUCCAUAAAAUAGUUUUAAUGUUUAUCUAUGUAUGCAUAUGCACUCAGUCAUGCUCUGACUCUUCGUGACACUUUGGCCUGGAGCCCACCAGGCUCCUCUGUCCAUGGGAUUUCCCAGGCAAGAAUACUGGAGCAGAUUGCCAUUUUCUACUCCAGGGGAUCUUCCCGAUCCAGGGAUUGAAACUGCAUCUCCUGCUUUGCCAGGCAGAUUCUUUACCAGCUGAGUCACCGGGGAAGCCGAAGUGUUUAUCUACAAGUUCAUAAAUCUGUACACAAUUAUGUUUGCUUUAUUCACUAAAAAGCCAGAUAGGCCACCAGGAGCCUUCCAGGCACAGAAGCACUGUCCCCAGCAGAACCCCAUCAGGUUGCAGGUUUGCCACCUGCAAGGGGUUGGUGUCUACAUGGCUUUCUUCCCUCUGAGACAGACACACACAUAGCAGUUGGGAUUGCAAUUAACAGCUGUGUGUGUGUGUGUGUGUGUAGAAUUUUCUGUUGUGCAAUGGGGAGUCUCCCAGCCCUGGUCCUGUUAGCCUCCAAUCUCUGCGGACUUGUUGGAAGUCCUCCCCACUGCCAUUGACAGGAGCAGAACAGACCCACAUUGAUAUACAGACCAUUGGUGCACACUGCUUUGGAAAGCAAGUACAGAAUUACCAUGGACACAGGUUUACAGAAGAUCACAGACACUUCAAGAGAAUCCUCUCACCACAUUUAGUGGUUUACCCAAUUUUGAGAGAAAUCUUCAAAACUCGAAAAAAGUGAGGCAGAUACCUUUGAUUAGGCUUACGAGGGAAAAUGAGGAGAAUCGAGUUUCCUAAGAAAGUGAUUGUGGAAUAAUUUCUUAAUAAUACUACCUUGCAUAUGAAAAAGGGUUUCCCUGGUAGCUCAGUUGACAAAGAAUCUGUCUGGAAUGUGGGAGACCUGGGCUUGACCCAGGUCUUCCCAGGGUUGGGAAGAUCCCCUGGAGAAAGGAAGGCUACCCACUCUAGUAUUCUGGCCUGGAGAAUCCCAUGGACUGUAUAGUCCAUGGGGCCACAAAGAGUUGGACACGACUGAGCAGCUUUCACUAUCCCACUAUGAAAAAGACCAAAGCGUACAACUGUGUCGGAUUUCCUGAGGCAGAAGAGAUCAAGGUAGGUAAACAGCACUGAAAAUAACUUGGAUCAGCUAUAAGCAAGAAAUAUCUGCCGGACAGGGGUGCUGAUCACUGAGAGAUUACAAAACCGACUUAAAAAAAAAUUUUUUUUUUUUGCAUGUGG